CGGAGGGUGCAAGCGUUAAUCGGAAUUACUGGGCGUAAAGGGUUCGUAGGUGGUUUAUUAAGUUAUUUGUAAAAUCCCUGGGCUUAACCUGGGCAGGUCAGAUAAUACUGGUAGACUCGAGUAUGGGAGAGGGUAGUGGAAUUUCCGGUGUAGCGGUGAAAUGCGUAGAGAUCGGAAGGAACACCAGUGGCGAAGGCGGCUACCUGGCCUAAUACUGACACUGAGGAACGAAAGCGUGGGGAGCAAACAGGAUUAGAUACCCUGGUAGUCCACGCCGUAAACGAUGUCAACUAGCUGUUGGUCAUAUUGAUAUGAUUAGUGGCGCAGCAAACGCGAUAAGUUGACCGCCCGGGGAGUACGGUCGCAAGAUUA
rnacentral:rRNA from 1 species